rnacentral:lncRNA from 1 species
UUCUGAAAUAAUUUUUUUUACUCAGAGUAUACAUUUUUUCUAUUGAAUUAAUGGUUGGAUUUUUUAAAAACCUGUUGAACCUGCACCUUUUGAAAUAUGCCGUAUAAAUUCACUCACAGGACAGCCUUUCCUGCUAUAGAUCAAGAAGUUUAUACAAACAAUGGGUACACUGUAUAAGUUCGCCUGCACCUCAUAUAUUAUUUUAGAGUUGAACUCCAGUAUUUCCAAUAUUUCCUCUAAAACAUACAAUCUACCACUUGCUCCUUGAUGAGAAACUUCUACUGAUUCAGUUGUGUUUGAACGCUUCAGUUCAUUAAUGCUCCUUUCUUGAUACUGGAUUAUUCACUUCGCCAUGUUAUAUAUGAGGAUAAGGACUUUGUAUAUAAUUUAUUUUACACGAGGGGAAUCAAGGAUGAUACCCAUCUAAAUAGUAUUAUACAUACAUAUAAUGGCACAUCUAUACUAAACCUAUUAGAUAUGAAGAUACAUGCAAACUGAUUAUUUUUCACUCUACGUGAGUACAACUGAUAUAUGGUUUGAAAACAAUCCUUGUUCAUGAAAUGCUUCACGCCAAGCAAGUAUAACAUCUUCAAUAGAUCCAGACAAAAACAUAGUAGAACCUAUUAUCUUUUUUAUUUUAGUACAUU